rnacentral:rRNA from 1 species
AAGCUAACGCGAUAAGCAAUCCCCUGGGGAGUCGGUCGCAAGGCUGAACUCAAAGGAAUUGACGGGGGCCCACACAAGCGGGGGCAUGUGGUUUAAUUGACGCAACGGAAGAACCUUCCUGGGCUGAAAUGUAGAGGAAUCCGGUAGAAAUAUCGGCGCCUAGCAAUAGGCCUUAUAUAGGUGUGCAUGGCUGUCGUCAGCUCGUGUCGUGAGAUGUUGGGUUAAGUCCCGCAACGAGCGCAACCCUUAUCUCCAGUUGCUACCAUUUAGUUGAGCACUCUGGGAAACCGCCUCGGAUACGGGGAGGAAGGUGGGGAUGACGUCAAGUCCUCAUGGCCUUUAUGUCCAGGGCUACACACGUGCUACAAUGGCCGGUACAAACCGUCGCGAACCCAGGGGGAGCCAAUCGGAAAAAGCCCUCCUCAGUUCGGAUUGAGUCUGCAACUCGACUUCAGAAGCUGACCGCUCAAUGAGUGUGUG